GUACCGGCGCUGCGCCGCUCGGCCGGUGGUGAGACCGGACCGGCUGUCACCCAUUGUGGACAUCGACAAGCAGUACGUUGGCUUCGCUACACUGCCCAACCAGGUGCACCGCAAGUCAGUCAAGAAGGGUUUCGACUUCACACUCAUGGUAGCCGGUGAGUCCGGCCUGGGGAAGUCUACCCUUGUCCACAGUCUCUUCCUGACUGACCUGUACAAGGACCGGAAACUGCUGAGUGCUGAGGAACGCAUCAACCAGACAGUAGAGAUCCUGAAACACACUGUUGACAUCGAGGAGAAGGGAGUCAAGCUGAAGCUCACCAUCGUGGACACGCCCGGCUUUGGGGAUGCAGUGAACAACUUCGAGUGCUGGAAGCCCAUCACUGACUAUGUAGACCAGCAGUUUGAACAGUAUUUCCGUGAUGAAAGCGGCCUCAACCGCAAGAACAUCCAGGACAACCGGGUGCACUGCUGCCUCUACUUCAUCUCCCCCUUCGGACAUGGAUUGAGGCCAGUGGACGUAGGCUUCAUGAAGGCGCUGCACGAGAAGGUGAACAUCGUUCCACUCAUCGCCAAAG
rnacentral:lncRNA from 1 species